GACGAACGCUGGCGGCGUGCUUAACACAUGCAAGUCGAACGAUGAACUUGGAGCUUGCUCUGGGGGAUUAGUGGCGAACGGGUGAGUAACACGUGAGUAACCUGCCCUGGACUCUGGGAUAACUUCGAGAAAUCGGAGCUAAUACCGGAUAGGACCUUGCACCGCAUGGUGUGGGUGGAAAGUUUUUCGGUUUGGGAUGGACUCGCGGCCUAUCAGCUUGUUGGUGAGGUAAUGGCUCACCAAGGCGUCGACGGGUAGCCGGACUGAGAGGGUGACCGGCCACACUGGGACUGAGACACGGCCCAGACUCCUACGGGAGGCAGCAGUGGGGAAUAUUGCACAAUGGGCGCAAGCCUGAUGCAGCAACGCCGCGUGCGGGAUGACGGCCUUCGGGUUGUAAACCGCUUUUAGUAGGGAAGAAGCCUUCGGGUGACGGUACCUGCAGAAAAAGGACCGGCUAACUACGUGCCAGCAGCCGCCGCAGUAA
rnacentral:rRNA from 1 species